AACGAACGCUGGCGGCAGGCUUAACACAUGCAAGUCGAGCGCGUAGCAAUACGAGCGGCAGACGGGUGAGUAACGCGUGGGAAUCUACCGAGCCCUAAGGAAUAGCUCCGGGAAACUGGAAUUAAUACCUUAUACGCCCUUCGGGGGAAAGAUUUAUCGGGGUUUGAUGAGCCCGCGUUGGAUUAGCUAGUUGGUGGGGUAAAGGCCUACCAAGGCGACGAUCCAUAGCUGGUCUGAGAGGAUGAUCAGCCACAUUGGGACUGAGACACGGCCCAAACUCCUACGGGAGGCAGCAGUGGGGAAUAUUGGACAAUGGGCGCAAGCCUGAUCCAGCCAUGCCGCGUGAGUGAUGAAGGCCCUAGGGUUGUAAAGCUCUUUCACCGGUGAAGAUAAUGACGGUAACCGGAGAAGAAGCCCCGGCUAACUUCGUGCCAGCCGCCGCCGUAAGAC
rnacentral:rRNA from 1 species